UUAUCUAUUGUACCAGCCUGAUGUAUAUAACAUUCAGUAAUAAAUAAAAUUAUUAUUUGCUAAGACUUCUCCGAAUUUAUUUAAUUAUCUAGCGAGAUCCUGUCGAAAUGGCACCACCCAAAUCCAACCUUUCAGUAAAACCACAAAAUGUUGAGGUUGCAGUAACCAAUAUUCCAGAACCAAAACCAACAACCCACCGAAAUAAAAUUAUUUGCCUAGUGGCUGUGUUCGUGGCCCUAUUGAUUGUUGGUAUUAUAAUAUUCGGUGGUGUACAUUUAUACAACCACUUACACAAGAAAGACAAAUUUGAUUCUAUCUCCAAAGUUCAUGGGAGAAAAAUACCAGAGCACAUACAAGUAGACUACGAUAAUAAGAUAAUAUAUGCUAGUAAUGAUGAAGAUGGAGAGAUUGAUGGAUUGAUUGCUCUACACAACUACGAUAAGAAAAUGUUGGCUUUCAAAGAUUUAACCAAUGGUCGUUGUUAUAUUGAUGUAUUGGAUGAAACAUUUGAAGAGGGUCUGACAUUUUGGUCUGCUCAAGAGGGAAAAGAACGAUCUUUGGUCACCAGAUAUUUCCGCUACAUCCGAGAACCAAUUGACCUUGAUGUGUUGAGAACAUUUGCAGGUCAACAUAUUGCUGACCAUUGUGCUGGUGUACCAUCUCAUUGGAUUGUUGUCAUCAGUAAAGAAGAAGCUGAAAAGCAAAAACAAUCAGCUAAUGGAAAAACGGUACAGUUUAUCUGUAGACCAAACAUUGAAUGUCCUGAAUGUCCACCAGAUGAAGUCCCUGUUACAACAACAGUAAAACCAAGGAAAACAAUAAAACCAGUUUUCGAUGGACAGGCAAUGGCAUAAAACCGACACUAGAAACCCUUUAAAUAUUUCUAUUUGUAAGAGUUAAUCUAAAUAAUAUAUCAAUUAUAUGUAGUGAAACCCUAUCUCUCUUUGAAUUAUUUAAUUUUGUAUUUUUAAAAUCUUUUAUUGUAAAGUUUUCUUUUGUUUCUGCUAUUGCAAAUAUUGUUUUUGUACUAUGAUGAUAGUUUUAUAUUAAACAAGUGUCCCUGUAGAA